rnacentral:rRNA from 1 species
CGUAGCCGCCGCGGUGAUACGUUCCCGGGCCUUGUACACACCGCCCGUCACACCAUGGAAGUCUGCAAUGCCCAAAGUCGGUGGGAUAACCUUUAUAGGAGUCAGCCGCCUAAGGCAGGGCAGAUGACUGGGGUGAAGUCGUAACAAGGUAGCCGUAGGAGAACCUGCGGCUGGAUCACCUCCUUUCUA